rnacentral:rRNA from 1 species
GACGAACGCUGGCGGCGUGCUCAACACAUGCAAGUCGAGCGAUGAAGCUCCUUCGGGAGUGGAUUAGCGGCGGACGGGUGAGUAACACGUGGGUAACCUGCCUCAUAGAGGGGAAUAGCCUUCCGAAAGGAAGAUUAAUACCGCAUAACAUUGCAGUACCGCAUGGUACAGUAAUUAAAGGAGCAAUCCGCUAUGAGAUGGACCCGCGGCGCAUUAGCUAGUUGGUGAGGUAACGGCUCACCAAGGCGACGAUGCGUAGCCGACCUGAGAGGGUGAUCGGCCACAUUGGGACUGAGACACGGCCCAGACUCCUACGGGAGGCAGCAGUGGGGAAUAUUGCACAAUGGGGGAAACCCUGAUGCAGCAACGCCGCGUGAGUGAUGACGGUCUUCGGAUUGUAAAACUCUGUCUUUGGGGACGAUAAUGACGGUACCCGAGGAGGAAGCCACGGCUAACUACGUGCCAGCAGCCGCAGUAAGAC